rnacentral:rRNA from 1 species
UCCGGUAGGUGAACCUGCGGAGGAUCAUUACCGAGUUGAUUCGGGCUCCGUCCCGAUCCUCCCACCCUUUGUAUACCUACCUCUGUUGCUUUGGCGGGCCGCGGUCUUCCGCGGCCGCCCCCCGAUUUUGGGGGGUGGCUAGUGCCCGCCAGAGGACUAUCAAACUCCAGUCAGUAAACGUUGCAGUCUGAAAAAAAAUAUUAAAUAAACUAAAACUUUCAACAACGGAUCUCUUGGUUCUGGCAUCGAUGAAGAACGCAGCGAAAUGCGAUAAGUAAUGUGAAUUGCAGAAUUCAGUGAAUCAUCGAAUCUUUGAACGCACAUUGCGCCCCUUGGUAUUCCGGGGGGCAUGCCUGUUCGAGCGUCAUUUCAACCCUCAAGCUCUGCUUGGUAUUGGGCACCGUCCUUUGCGGGCGCGCCUCAAAGACCUCGGCGGUGGCGUCUUGCCUCAAGCGUAGUAAAAUACACCUCGCUUCGGAGCGUAAGGCGUCGCCCGCCGGACGAACCUUCUGAACUUUUCUCAAGGUUGACCUCGGAUCAGGUAGGGAUACCCGCUGAACUUAAGCAUAUCAAUAAGCG